rnacentral:lncRNA from 1 species
UUGUUAAAUUAUUGAUAUUCUCAAGACUGUGUUAAGUACUGUAGGAAUUGCAGAGGGAGAAUAAUUGCACCAUAUUUACUCUAAGGAUGCAAAUAGAAGAACUAUUACAAACCACAUGGGAAGAAAUUAAUGUUAGUAAUUAAAGUUAGUAAAUUAAUGUUAACCACAUGAAGAUGAGGAAAUCUUCAUAAAGAAAUGGAAUGUUAUUUGAACUUUGAUGG